rnacentral:misc_RNA from 1 species
AAGGAGUCUAACAUCUAUGCGAGUGUUCGGGUGUCAAACCCCUACGCGUAAUGAAAGUGAACGGAGGUGAGAACCGCAAGGUGCAUCAUCGACCGAUCCUGAUGUCUUCGGAUGGAUUUGAGUAAGAACAUAGCUGUUAGGGCCCGAAAGAUGGUGAACUAUGCCUGAGAAAAGUGAAGCCAGAGGAAACUCUGGUGGAGGCUCGUAGCGGUACUGACGUGCAAAUCGAUCGUCAUACUUGGGUAUAGGGGCGAAAGACUAAUCGAACCAUCUAGUAGCUGGUUCCUGC